rnacentral:rRNA from 1 species
GACGAACGCUGGCGGCGUGCCUAAUACAUGCAAGUAGAACGCUGAAGAGAGGAGCUUGCUCUUCUUGGAUGAGUUGCGAACGGGUGAGUAACGCGUAGGUAACCUGCCUUGUAGCGGGGGAUAACUAUUGGAAACGAUAGCUAAUACCGCAUAACAAUGGAUGACACAUGUCAUUUAUUUGAAAGGGGCAAUUGCUCCACUACAAGAUGGACCUGCGUUGUAUUAGCUAGUAGGUGAGGUAAUGGCUCACCUAGGCGACGAUACAUAGCCGACCUGAGAGGGGGAUCGGCCACACUGGGACUGAGACACGGCCCAGACUCCUACGGGAGGCAGCAGUAGGGAAUCUUCGGCAAUAGGGGCAACCCUGACCGAGCAACGCCGCGUGAGUGAAGAAGGUUUUCGGAUCGUAAAGCUCUGUUGUAAGUCAAGAACGGGUGUGAGAGUGGAAAGUUCACACUGUGACGGUAGCUUACCAGAAAGGGACGGCUAACUACGUG